GAAAUGCGAUAAGUAAUGUGAAUUGCAGAGUUUUGUGAAUCAUCGAAUCUUUGAACGCACAUUGCGCCCCUCGGUAUUCCGACGGGCAUGCCUGUCCGAGCGUCGUUUACAACCCCAUCGAGUCGCACUCGGUCUUGGGCGUCGCCCCCCACUCCCGGGGGGACGCGCCCCGAAGCCAUCGGCGGCCCUGGUCGCGCGCCGGAGCGUCUUCGAGACGACCCGCUCCGCGCGUCGCGGCCCGGGACUGCCGCUCCAACCAACCCACCCGUUUGACCUCGGAUCAGGUAGGGCUACCCGCUGAACUUAAGC
rnacentral:misc_RNA from 1 species